rnacentral:lncRNA from 1 species
AUGUCUGCCGCAUGUGGCGCCGGGAGCCACCCCACCGUGAGUCCAGGGACCACCAGCCAGGCCAUCCGGGACCUGCAGGAUGAGGUCUCCCGGCUCCGUCUGAGGCUGGAGGACAGCCUCCACCAGCACCCCCAGGGCCGCCCCACGCGCUCAGCGUCCGGCUGCGCCCGCCCCACCCGGGCCCGGAAGCGGUCAGGAGAUUCCUCAGCCGCUUGGAGCUCCCAUUACGGCAGCAAAUCCACGGAGAGGUCGUCUGGUGAGCCCGGGGGUGCAGAGCAAGCUGUUCCCACGGGAAGGCGGCGAGCCAGGUCCUCCUCGGUGCCUCGGGAGGAGCCUCGACUGUCCCUGAGUUCCGAAUCUGAGCCAGCCUCCCCCAGGUUGUUUUCUGAGAGGGGAAGGACCACCGAGAACAGUCCGCAGGCCGCUCGGGAUGGAGCAAAAGGAGUGAGCAGCACCGGACGGCCUGACAGGGUCACCUUCCGAGGCCAAUACACAGGCCAGGAGUACUAUGUUCUGUCCCCCAAGACUGUACCAAGAAGCAGUGUCCCGGUCUCCUGUCCCCACUGCCGACCCCCUAGGACAGAGGAUCCAGGUGAUGCUGUCAGCAGGGACCCAGUGGGACCGUCUCGUAGUGAGACCUUGCGAUGUCCCCUGUGUAGUCAAGUUGGGUCCCUCUCUGAGGGGGAUGGCCCAGACUCAGCCACCUCUGCGCCAGAAAAGGCCACCACCAGGAGAAAUUCACCUUCAACAUCCAGCCCCAAGCAGAGGAGCAAGCGAGCAGGGUCGCCGCCCCGGCCGCCUCCUGGACUGUGGUAUCUGGCUGCCGCGCCCUCGGCACCAGCCCCUCCUGCCUUUGCCUACAUCUCCUCGGUUCCCGUCCUGCCUUAUCCAUCAGCCACUGUGUACUACGCUCCGCCAGCACCUACCUCAGCACCCCCAGUCCGAGCAGCCGCCGAGUGGCCCGCAGCCUGCUCCCGGCCGGCCCGGGGACCCCGGCACUCCGUCCAGCUGGACCUGAAGGACCUGGAGGAGCUCAACAAGGCCCUGAGCCGGGCGGUCGAGGCUGCCGAGAGCGUCCGCUCCACCACCCAGCACAUGAGCCGCUCGCUGUCGGCCGAGCUGCGCCAGGCCCGCGGCCUGCGGGGCUCCUGCCUCUUCUGA